rnacentral:rRNA from 1 species
GUGUCAGCCGCCGCGGUAAUACGUAGGCAGCGAGCGUUGUUCGGAGUUACUGGGCGUAAAGAGUAUGUAGGCGGUUCUGCAAGUUUGGUGUGAAAUCUCCCGGCUUAACUGGGAGGGUGCGCCGAAAACUGCAGGGCUAGAGUGCGGGAGAGGAAAGCGGAAUUCCUGGUGUAGCGGUGAAAUGCGUAGAUAUCAGGAGGAACACCUGCGGUGUAGACGGCUUUCUGGACCGCCACUGACGCUGAGAUACGAAAGCGUGGGUAGCAAACAGGAUUAGAAACCCCGGUAGUCC